AACGUAGGAGACAAACGUUAUCCGGAAUUACUGGGCGUAAAGCGUGCGCAGGCGGUGAUGUAAGACAGGUGUGAAAUCCCCGGGCUUAACCUGGGAACUGCAUUUGUGACUGCAUCGCUGGAGUGCGGCAGAGGGGGAUGGAAUUCCGCGUGUAGCAGUGAAAUGCGUAGAUAUGCGGAGGAACACCGAUGGCGAAGGCAAUCCCCUGGGCCUGCACUGACGCUCAUGCACGAAAGCGUGGGGAGCAAACAGG
rnacentral:rRNA from 1 species